rnacentral:rRNA from 1 species
AACGAACGCUGGCGGCAUGCCUAACACAUGCAAGUCGAACGAUGCCUUCGGGCAUAGUGGCGCACGGGUGCGUAACGCGUGGGAAUCUGCCUUUCGGUUCGGAAUAACUCAGGGAAACUUGAGCUAAUACCGGAUAACGUCGCAAGACCAAAGAUUUAUCACCGAAAGAUGAGCCCGCGUAGGAUUAGCUAGUUGGUGAGGUAAAGGCUCACCAAGGCGACGAUCCUUAGCUGGUCUGAGAGGAUGAUCAGCCACACUGGGACUGAGACACGGCCCAGACUCCUGCGGGAGGCAGCAGUGGGGAAUAUUGGACAAUGGGCGAAAGACUGAUCCAGCAAUGCCGCGUGAAUGAUGAAGGCCUUAGGGUUGUAAAGCUCUUUUACCAGGGAAGAUAAUGACGGUACCGGGAUAAUAAGCCACGGCUAACUCCGUG